rnacentral:rRNA from 1 species
GAUGAACGCUGGCGGCGUGCUUAACACAUGCAAGUCGAACGGAAAGGCUCCUGCUUGCAGGGGUACUCGAGUGGCGAACGGGUGAGUAACACGUGGGUGAUCUGCCCUGCACUUCGGGAUAAGCCUGGGAAACUGGGUCUAAUACCGGAUAGGACGAUGGUUUGGAUGCCAUUGUGGUAAGUUUUUCGGUGUGGGAUGAGCUCGCGGCCUAUCAGCUUGUUGGUGGGGUAAUGGCCUACCAAGGCGUCGACGGGUAGCCGGCCUGAGAGGGUGUACGGCCACAUUGGGACUGAGAUACGGCCCAGACUCCUACGGGAGGCAGCAGUGGGGAAUAUUGCACAAUGAGAGCAAGCCUGAUGCAGCGUAGCCGCGUGUGGGAUGACGGCAUUCGGGUUGUAAGCUGGUGUAGCUAGGGACGAAGCGAAAGUAACGGUACCUGGAGAAGAAGCACCGGCUAACUACGUG